CCAGAUCAACCCACAUCCUGUCCCCACUUCCACGAUAAGUAACUUUCCCUUUGCGGCUCCCACACCUGCACUCCAAAAGAAAGAAGAUGUUCAAAUUAAGGCCACUACCCAGAAACUUUCUGAUUCUGAUGCACAAAAGAAAUCUUUUCAGUGUAAGCAUCUUUCACUUUCAAACACAUAAACA